rnacentral:rRNA from 1 species
UACGUAGGUCCCGAGCGUUAUCCGGAAUUAUUGGGCGUAAAGAGCAUGUAGGCGGUCUAUUAAGUCUGGUGUGAAAUCUAGUGGCUCAACCACUAAAUUGCAUUGGAAACUGAUGGACUAGAAUACUGGAGGGGCAAGUGGAAUUCCAUGUGUAGCGGUGGAAUGCGUAGAUAUAUGGAGGAACACCAAUGGCGAAGGCAGCUUGCUGGACAGUAAUUGACGCUGAGAUGCGAAAGCGUGGGUAGCAAACAGGAUUAGAUACCCUGGUAG